rnacentral:rRNA from 1 species
AGAGUUUGAUCCUGGCUCAGAUUGAACGCUGGCGGCAUGCCUUACACAUGCAAGUCGAACGGCAGCACGGGUGCUUGCACCUGGUGGCGAGUGGCGAACGGGUGAGUAAUAUAUCGGAACGUACCUUAUCGUGGGGGAUAACGCAGCGAAAGCUGCGCUAAUACCGCAUACGCCCUGAGGGGGAAAGCGGGGGACCGUAAGGCCUCGCGCGAUUAGAGCGGCCGAUAUCUGAUUAGCUUGUUGGUGGGGUAAAAGCCCACCAAGGCGACGAUCAGUAGCUGGUCUGAGAGGACGAUCAGCCACACUGGGACUGAGACACGGCCCAGACUCCUACGGGAGGCAGCAGUGGGGAAUUUUGGACAAUGGGGGCAACCCUGAUCCAGCAAUGCCGCGUGAGUGAAGAAGGCCUUCGGGUUGUAAAGCUCUUUUGUCAGGGAAGAAACAGCAGCUCUAACACAGUCUGCGAAUGACGGUACCUGAAGAAUAAGCACCGGCUAACUACGUGCCAGCAGCCGCGGUAAUACGUAGGGUGCAAGCGUUAAUCGGAAUUACUGGNGCGUAAGCGUGC